GUCUUUUUGAGUUAUUUUUAAAGUCUGACCUGCCCACUGAAUAAUUUUUAAAUGGCCGCAGUAUCCUAACUGUGCAAAGGUAGCAUAAUCAUUAGUCUUUUAAUUGAAGGCUGGUAUGAACGGUUGGACGAAGUAUAAGCUGUUUCAUAUAAAAUUAUUUUAGAAUUUUAUAUUUUAGUUAAAAAGCUAAAAUUUUAUUAAAAGACGAGAAGACCCUAUAAAUCUUUAUAUUUAUAAUUAUUCAAAUUUUUUGGAUUAAUUUUAUUUUUAUAAUUGUAAAUAUUUUGUUGGGGUGAUGUUAAAAUUUAAUGAACUUUUAAUUAUUUAUUAAAUCAUUAAUUUAUGAGUUAUUGAUCCAUUAUUAGUGAUUAUAAGAUUAAGUUACUUUAGGGAUAACAGCGUAAUUUUUUUUGAGAGUUCAUAUCGACAAAAAAGUUUGCGACCUCGAUGUUGGAUUAAGAUACAUAUUUAGGUGUAGCCGCUUAAACAUAAAGUCUGUUCGACUUUUAAAUUCUUACAU
rnacentral:rRNA from 1 species